ACUGGGUCCCAUAGAUAGCCAUUAUAUAGACACCCACAAUAUUCACAAAGUGAAAUACACUCAAACUUGAAAGCUCUAAGAGGAGAGAAAAACAUCCAGCUUAUUCAUUUAAAGCUUUCAGGAUUGAACAAAAUGGGAGGUGGUGGCAAUAUGAGUACUCCAGCAACUAAAACUGGA